ensembl:lncRNA
CAUGCUAAGGUGAAGCAAAGCAGAUAUCAUGAACACUUCUGCUUUUUCUUUCUUUAUAUUACAGCAUUGUAUCUAGGCUUCUAAUCAAAGGGACUGGAGAAACAUGGGUGUCAGAGAGAUCCAAACAUGUUAAUUAAUAUUCCAAAGACUGGUUGGAGAAGGAAGGGGCAAAAGCAGAUGUUUCACUGUGCAGAGAAGAACCAGGACGAGGAAAUCAGGCUCCUGAACUUGAGCAUCUUUUCUUUCAACAGGAAAUGUGUAAUCAAAGUCAGAAAUUGCUUUCUAUAAUCCUGACCUGGAAAAGAAACAACUACAUGUAACUAUUUUCUCCUCUCUUGACAGAACAAAAGCUUUUAUCACGCCUGACUGGAUGUAACCCAAAUAAUAAAUUCAGGGGAGAUCACUCUUCUUCUCCAGCAGCCAUCUUCUAACUAUUGCAUUUGUGGAGAGUAACCACAUCUCCUCUCAGCUUUUGGUUUUCUUGGAUGAGAAUAACAAAUUGUCAUCUGCAUUUCAUCAGAUAACUGAAGUUCUUAAUGGCAGGCAAUGCUAAAGUAAGAGGAUUAUCUCAAACUACUUCUGCAAGAAGAAUGGAUUUUCCCCUGAGUUAACUUGAGAAAUCAAGACUUGUAUCUUCUAUUUCUAAGGAUACAGCGAUGUAGUUAUAAUUUCUGUUGAAUAAAUAGGAAAGGUGAUGUGGCAAAUGAAUGAAGAUUAUAAGGGCAGAAGGAAAUAAAUGUUUAAAACAGCAACAACAAAAAGGUGCAGCAUUUAACUGCAAUCUGCAGAAGAUAUCCUGGUCAGGUGUGGUUUAUGUAAUGUUAUAAAAAAGAAAAAAAAAAUAGUAGGGAUUUAUAAAAUGGCUGGUCAAACAAUAAGCAUCCUAAGAUGUUUUCUCUGUUGCACGUAAACAAGGACUUAGUGCAGCUGAGUUUCUGGAUUAUAUUUGUGACACCUUCUGUUAUCUUCGGACCUUUUCAGUUAUACCUUGUGAUUCUUUAUGUUUGAUGUACAGAGCUUUAUACUUUUCAGUUCUCCAAGCAGAGAUACUAUUACAUUGUGGUACUGUGUGUUUGUUGUUUUUUUUUUUUUUUCACUCAG